rnacentral:rRNA from 1 species
AUUGAACGCUGGCGGCAGGCUUAACACAUGCAAGUCGAGCGGAGAUGAGGUGCUUGCACCUUAUCUUAGCGGCGGACGGGUGAGUAAUGCUUAGGAAUCUGCCUAUUAGUGGGGGACAACAUUCCGAAAGGAAUGCUAAUACCGCAUACGUCCUACGGGAGAAAGCAGGGGAUCUUCGGACCUUGCGCUAAUAGAUGAGCCUAAGUCGGAUUAGCUAGUUGGUGGGGUAAAGGCCUACCAAGGCGACGAUCUGUAGCGGGUCUGAGAGGAUGAUCCGGCACACUGGGACUGAGACACGGCCCAGACUCCGACGGGAGGCAGCAGUGGGGAAUAUUGGACAAUGGGUGGAACCCUGAUCCAGCCAUGCCGCGUGUGUGAAGAAGGCCUUAUGGUUGUAAAGCACUUUAAGCGAGGAGGAGGCUACUGAGACUAAUACUCUUGGAUAGUGGACGUUACUCGCAGAAUAAGCACCGGCUAACUCUGUGCCAGCCGCCGCAGUAA